UUCGGCCUCGCCUUAGGGGUCGGCUUACCCUGCUCAGAUUAGCUUUAAGCAGGAACCCUUGGAUUUUCGGCGAGGCCGAAAGGCGUAGUCGAUGGGAACCAGGUUAAUAUUCCUGGGCCAGAUGGAAGUGACGGAUCUCGAGGGUAGUUCAUCCUUAUCGGAUUGAAUGGGCUGCUUAGAGGUCCCUGGAAAUAGCUCCAUCGCUAGAUCGUACCCUAAACCGACACAGGUGGAUAGGUAGAGAAUACCAAGGCGCUUGAGAGAACUAUGUUGAAGGAACUCGGCAAAAUACCUCCGUAAGUUCGCGAGAAGGAGGCCCGGUUCCUAGGCAACUAGGGGCUGGGGGCACAAACCAGGGGGUGGCGACUGUUUAUUAAAAACACAGGGCUCUGCGAAGUCGUAAGACGACGUAUAGGGUCUGACGCCUGCCCGGUGCCUGAAGGUUAAAAGGAGGAGUGAGAGCUCUGAAUUGAAGCCCAGGUAAACGGCGGCCGUAACAAUAACGGUCCUAAGGUAGCGAAAUUCCUUGUCGGGUAAGUUCCGACCUGCACGAAUGGCGUAACGACUUCCCCGCUGUCUCCAACAUAGACUCAGCGAAAUUGAAUUACCGGUCAAGAUGCCGGUUACCCGCGGUUAGACGGAAAGACCCCGUGCACCUUUACUACAACUUCACACUGGCAUUAGGCCGAACAUGUGCAGGAUAGGUGGUGGGCUUUGAAACGUGGACGCCAGUCUGCGUGGAGCCUCCCUUGAGAUACCACCCUUGUUCUGCUUGAUGUCUAACCGCGGUCCGUUAUCCGGAUCCGGGACCCUGUGUGGUGGGUAGUUUGACUGGGGCGGUCGCCUCCUAAAUCGUAACGGAGGCGCGCGAAGGUUGGCUCAGAGCGGUCGGAAAUCGCUCGUUGAGUGCAAUGGCAGAAGCCAGCCUGACUGCGAGACUGACAAGUCGAGCAGAGUCGAAAGACGGCCAUAGUGAUCCGGUGGUCCCAAGUGGGAGGGCCAUCGCUCAACGGAUAAAAGGUACGCCGGGGAUAACAGGCUGAUACUGCCCAAGAGUCCAUAUCGACGGCAGUGUUU
rnacentral:rRNA from 1 species